rnacentral:rRNA from 1 species
UACGUAGGGCGCAAGCGUUAAUCGGAAUUACUGGGCGUAAAGCGUGCGCAGGCGGUUAUGCAAGACAGAUGUGAAAUCCCCGGGCUCAACCUGGGAACUGCAUUUGUGACUGUAUAGCUAGAGUACGGUAGAGGGGGAUGGAAUUCCGCGUGUAGCAGUGAAAUGCGUAGAUAUGCGGAGGAACACCGAUGGCGAAGGCAAUCCCCUGGACCUGUACUGACGCUCAUGCACGAAAGCGUGGGGAGCAAACAGG